UAAUCUACCCAGAUAAGCAAAAGGUCUUCAUGCCACAGAUUAGAAAUACAGCUUCUUUAAAGAAUGGGGGAAACUCGAAAGAUAACCACCCUGAAAUCUCCCUCUGCACAAGGUGCUAAGGCACAGUACCAAGAGAGCAGCAAGCUUUCAGAGGAUUUGCAAAGAACCUUGAAAGUGAAGCAUCUAAGAUGGAUAAUGGGGUAAAACAGAACUGCAAAAUAGAUGAACCAAAGCCAAAGUACUCUUAUAUUCUUUCAAAAUUGGUGGAGUCAUGCAUUUUUGUUAUUGCUGGGAUGCUGAACAAGCCGUCAUUGAAAUGCACAGCGUCAAAGCUAGGAGGAAAGAAUGAAGCUGAGGAGCAACAAAACCUAGUGCAUCAAAGUGACUUAUGUGAUUGAAAAAGAGCUUGGUGGGCCUAACUGGUCUACAAGUGGAACCACCCAGCCAUCGGAAGCCAUAACCAAAAGUGCCCUUAGAGAUCGUAAAGCUAGGAAUCUUCACAGAAUUUUAACCCCAAACAUUUCUUCAAACGCAGGCUUACUGCCUUGCCUUUAUUACAGAUAUGAAAAAAUGGAGCAGCUAUGCUGAAGUGGGAGUGGAGGACCUAGAAUAGGUAAUCUGCCCUAGUAUCUCACCCUAAGUGAAUAGUAAAGGGACUUCUCUGAGAAGCAGAAUUUAAAAACAA